CAGUAGCCGCGGUAAAACGGAGGGGGCUAGCGUUGUUCGGAAUUACUGGGCGUAAAGCGCACGUAGGCGGCUUGGUAAGUUAGAGUUGAAAGCCCGGAGCUCAACUCCGGAAUUGCCUUUAAGACUGCCGAGCUAGUAGGUGAGAGAGGUAUGUGGAAUUCCGAGUGUAGAGGUGAAAUUCGUAGAUAUUCGGAAGAACACCAGUGGCGAAGGCGGCUUACUGGCUCAUUCUAGACGCUGAGGUGCGAAAGCGUGGGGAGCAAACAGGAUUAGAUACCCCUGUAGUCCCUGUCUCUUAUAC
rnacentral:rRNA from 1 species